AACGAAAGUUUUUUAAACUUUAGUGGCGGACGGGUGAGUAACACGUGAGAAUUUACCUUUAGGAGGGGAAUAACAAUUGGAAACAGUUGCUAAUGCCGCAUAUUAUUAAAAAAAAUAAAAGAAGAAAUUCGCCUAAAGAAAAGCUUGCGUCUGAUUAGCUAGUUGGUGGGGUAAAGGCCUACCAAGGCGACGAUCAGUAGCUGGUUUGAGAGGAUGACCAGUCACACUGGAACUGAGACACGGUCCAGACUCCUGCGAGAGGCAGCAGUGGGGAACUUUCUGCAAUGGGCGAAAGCCUGACAGAGCAAUACCGCGUGAGGGAAAUAGAAAGCCCAUAGGGUUGUAAACCUCUUUUGUUAAGGAAGAAGUUCUGACGUUACUUAACGAAUAAGCAUCAGCUAACUCCGUGCCAGCAGCCGCGGUAAUACGGAGGAUGCAAGUGUUAUCCGGAAUCAUUGGGCGUAAAGCGUCUGUAGGUGGUUUACUAAGUCUAUUGUUAAAGCUUGAAGCUCAACUUCAAAAAUGUACUAGAAACUAGUAAACUUGAGAAUAGUAGGGGUAAAGGGAACUUCCAGUGGAGCGGUGAAAUGCGUAGAUAUUGGAAGGACCACCGAAGGCGAAGGCACUUUACUGGGCUAUUUCUGACACUAAGAGACGAAAGCUAGGGGAGCAAAUGGGAUUAGAUACCCCAGUAGUCCUAGCCGUAAACGAUGGAUACUAGAUGUUGUGUGUUUCGAUCCAUGCAGUGUCGAAGCUAACGCGUUAAGUAUCCCGCCUGGGAAUUAUGCUCGCAAGAGUGAAACUCAA
rnacentral:rRNA from 1 species